UUAUCUUUACACAUGUGCCAACUUA
rnacentral:piRNA from 1 species